GAUGAACGCUGGCGGCGUGCCUAAUACAUGCAAGUCGAGCGAACAGACGAAGAGCUUGCUCCUCUGACGCUAGCGGCGGACGGGUGAGUAACACGUGGAUAACCUACCUAUAAGACUGGGAUAACUUCGGGAAACCGGAGCUAAUACCGGAUAAUAUAUUGAACCGCAUGGUUCAAUAGUGAAAGACGGUUUUGCUGUCACUUAUAGAUGGAUCCGCGCCGCAUUAGCUAGUUGGUAAGGUAACGGCUUACCAAGGCAACGAUGCGUAGCCGACCUGAGAGGGUGAUCGGCCACACUGGAACUGAGACACGGUCCAGACUCCUACGGGAGGCAGCAGUAGGGAAUCUUCCGCAAUGGGCGAAAGCCUGACGGAGCAACGCCGCGUGAGUGAUGAAGGUCUUCGGAUCGUAAAACUCUGUUAUUAGGGAAGAACAAAUGUGUAAGUAACUAUGCACGUCUUGACGGUACCUAAUCAGAAAGCCACGGCUAACUACGUG
rnacentral:rRNA from 1 species